CCUCCCGCCCGGCUCUGGAAAGGGGAAAAGGGGUUAAACUUACCUUUUUCCAGCGCUGGGCGGGGAGCUCUCCUCCUCCGUUCCUCCUCCUGGGCUGAAUGCGCACGCGCGGCAAGAGCUGCGCGCGCAUUCAGCCCGUCGCAUAGGAAAGCAUUUACAAUGCUUUCCUAUGGACGCUUGCGUGCUCUCACCGUGAAAAUCACAGUGAGAAGCACGCAAGCGCCUCUAGUGGCUGUCAAUGAGACAGCCACUAGAGGAAAUAGGGGAAGGCUUAACCCAUUAAUAAACAUAGCAG
rnacentral:lncRNA from 1 species